rnacentral:tRNA from 1 species
AGGCGUGUAGCUCAGCGGCAGAGCACUACCUUGACACGGUAGGGGUCCGCGGUUCAAACCCGCGCACGCCUA